rfam:Stegodyphus mimosarum contig47066, whole genome shotgun sequence.
GCCCUCGUGGUGUAGUGGUCAGCACGCUCGACGCGUAUUCGAGAGGUCCGUGGUUCGAGUCCCGGUUAGGACA